rnacentral:pre_miRNA from 1 species
AAUGUUCGAUACCAUUGAUUUUUUACAUAUGUUUGACCGUUCGUCUUAUUCAAAAAUUUUAAGUAAUUAUUAAUUCUUUUUUUAUCAUUUGAUUCAUUGUUAAAUAUAUUUUUAUGUAGACAUAUAAUUUUACAUAUUUUGCAAAAGUUUUUGAAUAAGACGAACGGUCAAACAUGUGCUAAAAAAUCAAUGGUGUCAAACAUU